rnacentral:rRNA from 1 species
GACGAACGCUGGCGGCGUGCUUAACACAUGCGAGUCGAGCGGAAAGGCGCUGCUCUUGUGGGGUGCUCGAGUGGCGAACGCGUGAGUAACACGUGAGUAACCUGCCCUUGACUUUGGGAUAUCUUCAGGAAACUGGGGCUCAUACCGGAUAUGAGCUCCUGCUGCAUGGUGGGCGUUGGAAAGUUUCGGCGGUUGUGGAUGGACUCGCGGCUUAUCCGCUUGUUGGUCGGGUAGGGGCUUACCAAGGCUUUGACGGGUAGCCGGCAUGGGAGGGUGACCGGCGACAUUGGGACUGAGGGACGCAGCAGAAGGGAACGGGAGGCAGUAGGGGAGAAUAUGGCGGAAUGGGGGGAAGCCUGAGGCAGCAGCGCCGGGUGCGGGAUAAUGGCCUUCGAGUUGUAAACCGCUUUCGACGGUGCCGAGGAGGGAGCGACGGUAAUGGGUAAAGAAGCACCGGCUAACUACGUG